rnacentral:rRNA from 1 species
UACGUAGGGACCGAGCGUUGUCCGGAAUCAUUGGGCGUAAAGAGCGUGUAGGCGGCCAACUAAGUCCUGCGUGAAAUCUCGGGGCUCAACCCCGAGCGGUCGUGGGAAACUGGUUGGCUAGAGUGCGGGAGAGGAGAGUGGAAUUCCUGGUGUAGCGGUGAAAUGCGCAGAUAUCAGGAGGAACACCGGUGGCGAAGGCACCACUCUGGGCCGGUACUGACGCUGAGGAGCGAAAGCGUGGGGAGCAAACCGG